GAUCUGACAGAAACUGAAAGAAGGCCGUCAUGUGUGUGUGUGUGUAUGUCCACCCUUAUCUAGACAUCAUAUAAUGGUUGUAAAUGAACAUCAUUGUUAUACACGUGGGGUUGUUCA